AUUGAACGCUGGCGGCAGGCCUAACACAUGCAAGUCGAACGAGUGGCGGACGGGUGAGUAAUGUAUGGGAAACUGCCUGAUGGAGGGGGAUAACUACUGGAAACGGUAGCUAAUACCGCAUACCAUCGGAUGUGCCCAGAUGGGAUUAGCUAGUAGGUGGGGUAACGGCUCACCUAGGCGAAGAUCCCUAGCUGGUCUGAGAGGAUGACCAGCCACACUGGAACUGAGACACGGUCCAGACUCCUACGGGAGGCAGCAGGGGGGAAUAUUGCACAAGGGGCGCAAGCCUGACGCAGCCAUGCCGCGUGUAUGAAGAAGGCCUUCGGGUUGUAAAGUACUUUCAGCGGGGAGGCGUUACCCGCAGAAGAAGCACCGGCUAACUCCGUGCCAGCCGCCGCGGUAAUUC
rnacentral:rRNA from 1 species